rnacentral:rRNA from 1 species
CGGAACGUGCCCGAGAGUGGGGGAUAACGGAGCGAAAGCUUUGCUAAUACCGCAUACGAUCUACGGAUGAAAGCAGGGGACCGCAAGGCCUUGCGCUCAUGGAGCGGCCGAUGGCAGAUUAGGUAGUUGGUGGGAUAAAAGCUUACCAAGCCGACGAUCUGUAGCUGGUCUGAGAGGACGACCAGCCACACUGGGACUGAGACACGGCCCAGACUCCUACGGGAGGCAGCAGUGGGGAAUUUUGGACAAUGGGCGCAAGCCUGAUCCAGCCAUGCCGCGUGCAGGAUGAAGGCCUUCGGGUUGUAAACUGCUUUUGUACGGAACGAAAAGCCUCGGGCUAAUAUCCUGGGGUCAUGACGGUACCGUAAGAAUAAGCACCGGCUAACUACGUGCCAGCAGCCGCGGUAAUACGUAGGGUGCAAGCGUUAAUCGGAAUUACUGGGCGUAAAGCGUGCGCAGGCGGUAAUGUAAGACAGAUGUGAAAUCCCCGGGCUCAACCUGGGAACUGCAUUUGUGACUGCAUUGCUGGAGUACGGCAGAGGGGGAUAGAAUUCCGCGU